ACAUAUAAUUUUAAGUUUUUAACUAAUAUAUGUUUUUGCGGGAGGACCUAGACCCUUACUAGCUCCGCCCCUGUUUCUUGGCUGCAUAAAAAGAAGAUUCUUUCUUAUUACUACUCCUUUUGGGCCCUAAAAAAAGGGCAGAACUAAAUUUUUGAGCUCUGUCUAAACUCUAAAGUAAUCUCUCAUGCUGAUAAAAUUUGAAAUUAGAGGCAAAUGCAGCAGCCUAUAUUAAACCGUUUAACUGAAUCAGUGUUUUCGACAUUGAACAUGUAUGUACCUGUAAUCCAAUACAAAGCAUCAAUCAUUCAAUUGUGCGUUUGCCUCAGCCUGAGACCUUAUCUUCAGCUUUGAUUUCCAAAAGUAAGAUUUUAUUUUUGGUAAGAUCGAUGUUGUCAUACUUCAAUUUGAUCACUGCCUGUUUUGGUCUUAACUUAAGCUAACGCGGGAACCAGAGAGACCGAGAUCGUGAAAGGGCACAAGCCAGGGGAAACCACAAGUCCAAGACACCUAAACAUGAUGGAUUAACCCCUGAACAACGACGAGAAAGGGAUGCAAAGGCACUUCAAGAGAAGGCGAAAAAGAAAGCAGCACAGGCGGGAGAUGGAUGGAACAUAGACAAAUCUGAAAUAGUUGGGAAAUGAGUAAAAAGGGGGCAUGAGUUAUAGAUUCUUGUUCAUCGUGUCAUUUCAAGUGUCUGGCAUGUAUGUUUGGCUUUUGUACCUUUGAUUUGUGUCUUCAUCUGCAGUGAAAUUUCCUCUUGUGAUUACUCUUA